rnacentral:lncRNA from 10 species
GUGAAAGCCUCAUUUUGUGAUUCAGGCACCAGCCAAAUAUAGUUUCAUGAGGAAAACUCAGUUGCCUGUGGCUUUGUUUUUGUUUUUGAGUGCUUUGAAAAUCUUGCUGCCUCUCCCGCUUCUGAUUUGCAAGACACUGGAGAGGAAAUCAACUUGGUUAUCUGAGCAUCCUCUAGUGCCUCUCAGCUCUGCGUGAAGACUGCUUUCCUCAGAGGAGUCCAAACUUUAUCAAAAAGAGAAAUAUUUCCUUUUCUCUUCACAAUGAAAUUGGACUUGGAGGUCAGCGAACCAAUAGACUUUGGUUCUGGAGAUCAUCAACAUCUGAUUCGGAAAGCAGCAGAUAAAAGCAUCCAGUCCGAAUCUGGUGAGCGCUACACACCUUCAUCUUCAGCUGGGCCACAAGAAACUCGGGAGAAGCCACGGCCAAAGGGCACCGAGCAGUUGAAUACCUAUGUGGUAGAAAUUUCAGAUGACAUCACCCCAGGUGAUAGCAAUGCAACUUUAGGCAAUCCUUUCUCAGAUGCAUCUGUCCGCAGAGCUUUCAUUAUCAAAGUGUUCCUCCUCCUGUCAGCUCAGCUGUUGCUCACUGCGGUAAUUACCAG